rnacentral:rRNA from 1 species
GGGGAGUACGGACCGCAAGGCUAAAACUACAAAGGAAUUGACGGGGACCGCACAAGCGGUGGAUGAUGUGGAUUAAUUCGAUGCAACGCGAAAAACCUUACCUACCCUUGACAUGUCAGGAAUCCUGGAGAGAUCUGGGAGUGCUCGCAAGAGAACCUGAACACAGGUGCUGCAUGGCUGUCGUCAGCUCGUGUCGUGAGAUGUUGGGUUAAGUCCCGCAACGAGCGCAACCCUUGUCAUUAAUUGCCAUCAUUCAGUUGGGCACUUUAAUGAGACUGCCGGUGACAAACCGGAGGAAGGUGGGGAUGACGUCAAGUCCUCAUGGCCCUUAUGGGUAGGGCUUCACACGUCAUACAAUGGUCGGUUCAGAGGGUUGCCAACCCGCGAGGGGGAGCCAAUCUCAGAAAAGCCGAUCGUAGUCCGGAUCGCAGUCUGCAACUCGACUGCGUGAAGUCGGAAUCGCUAGUAAUCGCGGAUCAGCAUGUCGCGGUGAAUACGUUCCCGGGUC